rnacentral:rRNA from 1 species
UACGGGGGAGCAAGCGUUGUUCGGAUUUACUGGGCGUAAAGGGCGCGUAGGCGGCCAGCACAAGUCAGUUGUGAAAUCUCCGAGCCUUAACUCGGAAAGGUCAACUGAUACUGUGCGGCUAGAGUGCAGAAGGGGCAACUGGAAUUCUUGGUGUAGCGGUGAAAUGCGUAGAUAUCAAGAGGAACACCCUGCGGCGAAGGCGGGUUGCUGGGCUGACACGUGACGCUGGAGGCGCGAAAGCCGUGGGGAGCGAACAGG